GUGCCAUUCAGAGGGUGAACGGGCAAGACUAAAGAUUUGAGUGCCUUCGAACAGGGUCUGGUAGUAGGUGCCUUUUGAACAGGGUAGUAGGUGCCUUUUGAACAGGGUCUGGUAGUAGGUGCCUUUUGAACAGGGUAGUAGGUGCCUUUUGAACAGGGUCUGGUAGUAGGUGCCUUUUGAACAGGGUAGUAGGUGCCUUUUGAACAGGGUAGUAGGUGCCUUUUGAACAGGGUAGUAGGUGCCUUUUGAACAGGGUAGUAGGUGCCUUUUGAACAGGGUAGUAGGUGCCUUUUGAACAGGGUAGUAGGUGCCUUUUGAACAGGGUAGUAGGUGCCUUUUGAACAGGGUAUGGUAGUAGGUGCCGUUGAACAGGGUAUGGUAGUAGGUGCCGUUGAACAGGGUAUGGUAGUAGGUGCCGUUGAACAGGGUAUGGUAGUAGGUGCCUUUGAACAGGGUCUGGUAGUAGGUGCCUUUGAACAGGGUAUGGUAGUAGGUGCCGUUGAACAGGGUCUGGUAGUAGGUGCCUUUGAACAGGGUAUGGUAGUAGGUGCCUUUUGAACAGGGUAGUAGGUGCCUUUGAACAGGGUAUGGUAGUAGGUGCCUUUGAACAGGGUAUGGUAGUAGGUGCCGUUGAACAGGGUAUGGUAGUAGGUGCCUUUGAACAGGGUAUGGUAGUAGGUGCCUUUGAACAGGGUAUGGUAGUAGGUGCCUUUGAACAGGGUCUGGUAGUAGGUGCCUUUGAACAGGGUAUGGUAGUAGGUGCCGUUGAACAGGGUCUGGUAGUAGGUGCCUUUGAACAGGGUAUGGUAGUAGGUGCCGUUGAACAGGGUCUGGUAGUAGGUGCCGUUGAACAGGGUCUGGUAGUAGGUGCCUUUGAACAGGGUAUGGUAGUAGGUGCCUUUUGAACAGGGUAUGGUAGUAGGUGCCUUUGAACAGGGUAUGGUAGUAGGUGCCUUUGAACAGGGUCUGGUAGUAGGUGCCUUUGAACAGGGUAUGGUAGUAGGUGCCUUUGAAC